GUGCUCUCUUUGGUAGCAUAUAUACUAAAAUUGGAACGAUACAGAGAUUAGCAUGGCCCCUGUGCAAGGAUGACAUGCAAAUUUGUAAAUUGUUCCAUAUUUCU